rnacentral:rRNA from 1 species
UACGAAGGGGGCUAGCGUUGCUCGGAAUCACUGGGCGUAAAGCGCACGUAGGCGGACUCUUAAGUCGGUGGUGAAUCCUGGAGCUCAACUCCAGAACUGCCUUCGAUACUGGGAGUCUCGAGUCCGGGAGAGGUGAGUGGAACUGCGAGUGUAGAGGUGAAAUUCGUAGAUAUUCGCAAGAACACCAGUGGCGAAGGCGGCUCACUGGCCCGGUACUGACGCUGAGGUGCGAAAGCGUGGGGAGCAAACAGG